AUGAACUGUAUGAGACAAAAAGGCUUCCGGACACCAUCAUCUCUAAAAGGUUCCACUCAGUGUUGGGGUUGGAGGCUGAGCCGCCACAUGUCAUCCUGCCAUAAAAUACUGGGAAUGGAUUUGAUGGGAACUAAGGAACUUUUCAGUCCAGUGAUACUUCAGCAAACCUUGGAGGAACUUCAAGAUCCCACGAGGUAG
rnacentral:lncRNA from 1 species